GUGUUCUGAGAUAAGCACUUCGUUUUCUACUGCUCGACUUUCACUCGCUAACAAUUCAAACACUUGGCCACAAAGCCUACAACUUUCUUUUUCAUGUCGUUCCACCAAUAAAUUCCUUGAUAUCAUGAUACUUCUUUGGGAAACCUAGGUGGAUAGAAUACCAAGAUUUAUGAGCUUCUAACAUGAUCUUCCUCUUUAAGUCCAUCUAUGUCUGGAACAGACAAUCUGUCUUGGUACCUCAGAGUACCAUCAUCUCCCCCUUGUUUAAAAGCCAUCAUCUUAUGCCUGUGAAUCCCCUCUUUCAGCUGCCAAGAAAGGAUCAUCAAGCUAUUUCUCCUUUACUUCGGCUACUAAGGAGGAGUAAGUCAUAUUCUAG
rnacentral:lncRNA from 1 species